GACAGAGGGGGCAAGCGUUGCUCGGAAUUACUGGGCGUAAAGGGCGCGUAGGCGGGAUGGCAAGUCGGUCGUGAAAUCCUUCGGCUCAACCGAAGAACGUCGAUCGAUACUGCUGUUCUUGAGGGUUGCAGAGGAGACUGGAAUUCCCGGUGUAGCGGUGAAAUGUGUAGAGAUCGGGAGGAACACCGGUGGCGAAGGCGGGUCUCUGGGCAAUUCCUGACGCUGAGGCGCGAAGGCCAGGGGAGCAAACGGG
rnacentral:rRNA from 1 species